rnacentral:rRNA from 2 species
GCUAUACAUGCAAGUCGAGCGGAGUUGAAGAGAUGCUUGCAUCUCUGAUACUUAGCGGCGGACGGGUGAGUAACACGUGGGUAACCUGCCUGUAAGACUGGGAUAACAUUCGGAAACGAAUGCUAAUACCGGAUACGCGAUUUGGUCGCAUGAUCGAAUCGGGAAAGAUGGAGCAAUCUAUCACUUACAGAUGGACCCGCGGCGCAUUAGCUAGUUGGUGAGGUAACGGCUCACCAAGGCGACGAUGCGUAGCCGACCUGAGAGGGUGAUCGGCCACACUGGGACUGAGACACGGCCCAGACUCCUACGGGAGGCAGCAGUAGGGAAUCUUCCGCAAUGGACGAAAGUCUGACGGAGCAACGCCGCGUGAGUGAUGAAGGUUUUCGGAUCGUAAAGCUCUGUUGCCAGGGAAGAAUGCUUGGGAGAGUAACUGCUCCCAAGGUGACGGUACCUGAGAAGAAAGCCCCGGCUAACUACGUGCCAGCAGCCGCGGUAAUACGUAGGGGGCAAGCGUUGUCCGGAAUUAUUGGGCGUAAAGCGCGCGCAGGCGGCCUUGUAAGUCUGUUGUUUAAACUUGGGGCUCAACCCCAAGUCGCAAUGGAAACUGCAAAGCUUGAGUACAGAAGAGGAAAGUGGAAUUCCACGUGUAGCGGUGAAAUGCGUAGAGAUGUGGAGGAACACCAGUGGCGAAGGCGACUUUCUGGGCUGUAACUGACGCUGAGGCGCGAAAGCGUGGGGAGCAAACAGGA